CAGCAGCCGCGGUAAUACAGAGGGUGCGAGCGUUAAUCGGAUUUACUGGGCGUAAAGCGUGCGUAGGCGGCUUUUUAAGUCGGAUGUGAAAUCCCUGAGCUUAACUUAGGAAUUGCAUUCGAUACUGGGAGGCUAGAGUAUGGGAGAGGAUGGUAGAAUUCCAGGUGUAGCGGUGAAAUGCGUAGAGAUCUGGAGGAAUACCGAUGGCGAAGGCAGCCAUCUGGCCUAAUACUGACGCUGAGGUACGAAAGCAUGGGGAGCAAACAGGAUUAGAUACCCGCGUAGUCCCUGUCUCUUAUAC
rnacentral:rRNA from 1 species